AACGAACGCUGGCGGCAGGCUUAACACAUGCAAGUCGAACGCUCCGCAAGGAGAGUGGCAGACGGGUGAGUAACACGUGGGAACGUACCCUUUACUACGGAACAACUCCGGGAAACUGGAGCUAAUACCGUAUGUGCCCUUUGGGGGAAAGAUUUAUCGGUAAAGGAUCGGCCCGCGUUGGAUUAGCUAGUUGGUGGGGUAAAGGCCUACCAAGGUGACGAUCCAUAGCUGGUCUGAGAGGAUGAUCAGCCACAUUGGGACUGAGACACGGCCCAAACUCCUACGGGAGGCAGCAGUGGGGAAUAUUGGACAAUGGGCGCAAGCCUGAUCCAGCCAUGCCGCGUGUGUGAUGAAGGCCUUAGGGUUGUAAAGCACUUUCACCGGAGAAGAUAAUGACGGUAUCCGGAGAAGAAGCCCCGGCUAACUUCGUGCCAGCCGCCGCGGUAACAC
rnacentral:rRNA from 1 species